rnacentral:rRNA from 1 species
UACGUAGGGUGCGAGCGUUGUCCGGAAUUAUUGGGCGUAAAGAGCUCGUAGGCGGUUUGUCACGUCUGCUGUGAAAUCCCGAGGCUCAACCUCGGGCCUGCAGUGGGUACGGGGCAGACUGGAGUGCGGUAGGGGAGAAUGGAAUUCCUGGUGUAGCGGUGAAAUGCGCAGAUAUCAGGAGGAACACCGGUGGCGAAGGCGGGUCUCUGGGCAAUAACUGACGCUGAGGAGCGAAAGCGUGGGGAGCGAACAGG